AAGAAUUGUUAUAUUUUAAAAGGCUUUUUCAGGAUUCCUUUGUACUGAAGAAAUUUGGGAAAAUUGAGACUGGUUUACAAAAUGUGCUCAUUUACCUCAUUCUACAUAUUCUAGGAAAAGCUGCAGCCAGCAGCUGUUCCUAGAGUUGACACUGCCUACUGCAGCACCACCUUGUCUCCCUUGAGUGAACUAUUGUGAAGAAAAUCACAGAGCCCACAUGUGAAGGUUUAAGUAACAAAAGAAGUGGAGGAAAAUGUUGUGGCAGGAGAAGAGCUCAUCCUAUGGCAGAGGUAGAAGAAGGAGCCCUGUGCCACAUGACCAGUGCCCUGGCUUGCAGAAGGAAUGUGAAGCAAGUGAGUUAAGGUGGGAACAAGUACUUCUUUCUUUCUCCUCUUCCGCUAUGAAAUAGCAACUUCUAAAAAAGGGGUGCUGCAGAUGGUAAAGUCUUAAAUUACCACGGUGAGCUUUGCUGGAGCCCGUCUGCAGCUGAUUCACAGAAGGUCAUGUCUGCUGGGCCUGCCCUACUCCUGAGCUUACUCAUGUAGUCCGUGUGGCUGACAGGGAUGAAAAAGCGGAACUGCUGGAACACAUUUGAUAUGGCUUUAGACAGGCAGCCUGAUUUGCAAACUCAAAGCACAAGAGAGACUGAGAGCAAUUGCAAUGGAUUAUGAAUUAGCUCAGAAACACAGACACGAGGCGUGAGGGAGGAACGUGGCUGCAGCUGAGUGGAGAGCUGUUCCUCACAUAUUAUCAUCCAAGUUACUCAAUGCAUCCCUGAGUCCAGCAAUUCCACUGAGGAGUGGCAGCAUCACAACUGCAAGCAGAGAUCUAGAUGGCAGCUACAUGUGGAUCUAUGAGAUGAAAGGUCAAUCUGAAAAGGAACAGCUAGCCAGAACUGAGCAAAGGACUGUAGCUGGGAAACAGCCAGAGUCUUUUUCCUCCUAUGUUCUCAUAGCUUAAUUUCUCCAUUGGACAGAUUCCCAAGGAGUGGCCUUUCUGCAGGUGCAGUGUUGCAACAGCUCUGAAACAUUAGUCACCAUUUUAUCAGUGUUAAAAUGUUCUCAAGGCAAUGCUUCUAAGAGUACUGUCACUCAACACACUAUCUAGGAAUUCUAUUGCAGUAAGUCGGAAGAUUAAAUAAAACCUUCCAUUCAUGCUGCUCAUCUCACCUUGUUCAGCUCCCAAGACCAGUGAGUCCCUUCCAGUUGUAAGCUCUGUGUGUUUAUACUGCAACAAUUCAUUAAAUCUAUUCAACUUUCAAGUGUCUUUGCUUAUGGCUCUAUUACAGUACUCCCAAUCAUCAUCAAAUGAUUCUACAGAAAUAUUUUUAAAGACUCAGUUCUGACUUAAUGCCAUUGUAAAUCAGGAAUAACUCCAGUAAGCUGUUAUGAUGUAAAAUCCAAUUUAUAUUUGCACGCAGCAAUGAUGUGAGCCUUCUGAAAACUUGGGAGUUAAGAUACAUUUAUGAGAAGCCCUGCGUAUGAUAAUUUACUUAACGAACAUACUGAUGCCCAUGUUACCUCAACUAAAUUGAGUAUUCCAGACAAAACUCUGAACCCACAGAAAUCUCUGCAAAUAUUGCCAUCAAUAUAGCUGACUCAGGAUUUCACAGAUUUCAUAUUUAUUAGGGACUGCUGUUAAGAGAGUUCUCCCAUGUUUUAAAUCACUCUGCAGUGGUGAAUAAUUAAUACUCAGAAGAAGUUCAAUAUUUCUUUCUGCAAGUAGGCAAAGCGUGCAGCCUGCUGGAUUUGAAGAUGCAGCUCAAACAUGAAUAAUCUCCUAUUUCAACAUCAUCGCCUGUGCUUGCAGCAGAGCAUUCCAUAUUCACUCCCCCUUCCUUGCUGUUGUAGUUUCUUUACCGUGGAAAAGAGUUUACACUUAACAAUGACAUUAAAACAGGAGUUACAGUUACUGUAGGUGUUUGCACACCAGAAGCAGCUGCUGUCAGUGUGAAAGGGGAAAGGAAGUGAUGAGAUCCUGCACUGCCCUGGAAAUUACAGGUGCUGAGAGGAAACUUUUAUCCAGAAGAGUUUGUCAAAGAUAAGGACGUAGGAAAGGAGAAAAGCAACGAAGAACAUUUCAGAGAGAUAAACCAUUAGCUCCAGCCCAGUCUCCAGUAAAUAAAUUCACAUAUCUAACUGCUGCUUAUGACUAUCCAGAUAGAAGUACCAUGUGAAUGGGAGGAGAGCAGAGCUAACCUCACCUCUAUGACUGUGAGCAGAGGUAAGCAUUAAUAUUCUCACUUCAGAUGAACUUCAUUUUAUGAAACUAAAUAAGGAACCUUCCCUUGCAGGAAGAUGCUUUUGUAAUUAGCCCUUCUCAUGUAGGCCACCAACAGCUGGUUUACAUCCUUCAGGUUCUGAAUUAGUUUAUAGAGUUUUGUGUUUUGUAAAGUUACACACUUAAGACACAGUAAAAACUCCAGUAAAUAAAACACUAACUGACUUUUUAUAGAACCAGAGAGUGCAAUUGUAGAGAAUCUGCGUGUAAUCCAAGGAGACCACCAUGCUGCCUUAUAACUGAAAGGUCAUUUACUAGACUUUUAUCUUUUUUUAAGGCAGCUUUUAAUUGACAUUUGUGUCCUGUUCAAGCCCCGUCUCUCUGCUAUGCUGUAUUAUACACAGCAAUGUGAUGGCCUCUUUGGAACAAAUAACUAUUUUGAAAUAUAUGCUUUCAAGAUAAUUGGCCUUUUUGCUCUCACUUGUGGCUCAAACAACAUACCAAUCUGAUUAUUUCAAAUAACAAACAUAUGCUUUGUUUAAUGGGAUGGGAGACUAAUUACCUGUGAGAAAACAGAAAUGGCAACCAGUCAUAGAAAUCUUUUCCAUUAUUGAAAAACAUCAUAAAAUAUUAGUCAGCUUUGAGUGUGAUGGUUCAAUAGUGGAUAAGUGGGGAUGAAUGUGCCAGAAUUGGCUCGCCCUCACAAACCAGACUGUUCAGGUACUACAUGAGACAAGUGACUGAGACAUGCACAUGUGGGAGGGAGGUGUUCUAGUUGCAGAGAAAAUGUAAAGUUAUUUGAAUAUCAACAAGAAAAAUAAUGAGUGAGAUUGCCAUUUAGUUUAAUACAAUAUAGUGAAUAUAAAAUUACUAUAAUAUUUUUGCCCCUCAAGCCACAAGAUAUCAAGCCAUUAAAAUGGAAUGCACUUAUUUUUUCCCCCCACACAAGGGUAUCAUCUAAGUUAUUGUUCCUCAAAUAGCUUAGAUCAAGAGCACAAAAUUUAAACAUCCAAUUCAUUUACAGUGCUUUUAGAUCAUAGAUUCCACAGGGCACAGUUCGAGUACAUUUCAUAGUUACCUUAACAAGUUUUGCUGUAUAUACAUUAUUUGUUUACUUUGCUAUGUUUUUCUGUUAUGUCUAAAAAUCGAGACUAAAUUGCUCAAUUUCAUUUCCAUGUUCUCAUUUGUUAAAGUACACUCAUUGUUCAAGCUGGCAAUACUUCAGGUGUUAGAAAGUCACAAAACCAGAUUUGAUUGCUAUGCAUACAGAGGAAAGCUGGGGACAACCUGCAGUAUUUCUUACAGCCCCAGGGCCCCUCCUACUUUGUACGCUACGGUCCUCUUCAUUCCAUUACAUUUGCAGGUCCAGGAACAAGUCUGCUUGCCGAGACAAAAGGGCCCUUUGCAAUAUGGUGAACUACCCUCACAAUGCUACUAACAGUGGCAUUUACUCUUCAUGGUAAAUAUUUUACAAUUAAAAAAAAAAUUGUAUUACAAGUAAAAUUGGAAACCCAGUAGAGAAAGAAGCAAAGUGAGUCUAUGAUGUAGUUCAAUUUAUGUUCCACAGCAUUAAACUAAAGUUAAAACUGUACAGGGAACAGUAACUGACAUAGCUAUAUUUUGUAAUUAUUAGAUAUGUCAGCAUAUUGACUACAUGAGCCUCAAGUGUACUCAGCUUGCCCUGGCUGUUUGGAGUUCACUGCUACUUAACUUGCAUAUUCAAUAAGAAAAAGAUGUUUCUUUCAGAAGCAGGUGAUAAAGCUCCAGCAAAUUUAGAUCAUUCUGUAGAUAAGGGGAGAGUAAGCUCCAGAGAGAGAAAUGAGCAAAGUAUAAAGCUAAAGUUGGCCCUGAGUUCUGCACUGGGAGUUGUGCUGCACUGGGAGCUCAGCUAAAUGACAGAGAAUUGUAUUUUGCCCCAGGUAAAUAAUAGUCAGUAUCUAAAAAAUUUAAAAGCCAUUAUUCAGAGGCAAGUAAUGAUUGCCUUCAAAAUUACUGUUCAUUUUGUGUGGCUAUAUUCUGUGUGGAUGUAUCUUCUGAAAUCUCUGCCCACACCUCACACCCUUACCUAUCUGUCAAUGAAGUGAUUUAGCAGGUAUCAACUUACAGCUUGGCAGAUCCCUCAGAUCCCAACUCAGCUCUGCCCAGACCUUGGCUUUUGCUUGGUACCUAUCUCUGCCUCUGCUGGAAGGAGCCCCAAGGUCUUCCUUACUGCAUCUUCCAGGUAAAUAAGGGCUCACUCUGCAUAUACAGCUGCAGUGUCCAUUGCUAGCGAGAUGAGCAUGUAGCACGAUGAACCUGGAAUCACAGAAAUGCCUGUCAGAUAAUGCAUGUUUUGGAUAAUGUAUGGAAACACAGGAAGAGAAGGAGGACACAUACUCUCUACCUUGGAAAUUCUGCUAUAAAAUCCUAAUCCUUAUCUGAUCCCACACAGGCAACAGAUCAGCCCAUACAGUGGGAUGUCUGCUCAGUUUGAUAGUAGAAGAAAUAACCAACAAUUAGUGCAAAUGAUCACAAAAGCAUACAAAAUGAAUUUUAAUAGUAGUCUAAAUAUGAACAGACAUAUUUGGAUGUUACUUCACACACUCCCACAGAAGUCACUCUGACUUAAUCAUAAUACUAAGAAUGCAGUGAGACCAAAUACAAGGCAAGAAGAGUAGGGUCCAUUGCCCCGAGCCCAUUUUGCUAUAAAGGGACUUCCAUGAACACAUCUCCUACAAUUUGGACACAUCAGCAACAUCUGAGAAGUGUAAUGCAGUAAGUUAAGCCAACAAGCCUCCUUUUCCCUGAAUUCCUUAUUUUUAAUUUAAAAUUGCUAUUUUCUCCCCUUAUUCUGCAACCUGAUUUCACUACAGUUCAGGCCAAAUUCCAGUUUGAAGAAUUCCCGUUUGUCUGAUUUCUUCCUUCAAAAUCUGGAACAGCUGCAGAGUUCUACCUUCUCAGAGAUGUAGGCUGCUGUCAGGUAUCUCAAAGGGAUAUUGUAAGAAAAUUAUUUCAGUAAAGAAGUGUCAGGAAACAAACAAACAAACAAAAAAAAACAUAGCUAUUAUUUUGCAAUGUAUGCAAGUACUGUUUUUCUAAGCUUAAUUUAAUCUAGUUUAUAUGGUAUUGAUCACAGUUACCAUAAGACCUGACAACUCUUUUCUAUUUUAUGAUUUUAUUUUAGUGGAUCUCAAAUCUACCAGCAGUCUAUAACACUACAGCAAGUGACCUGCAAGCGGUCUACUGAGCCUCAUCGAGCAAUAAAAACAUGAUGACCUCGAUCAAAUGUCCCAGCUGUGGUGAACAUAAACCAAUAGAAAUUGUAAAGUUUGGCAAUUAUUUGAGGGCCAAAAAGUCUGGAGAACUUUAUAUCAGUACAAUUGUGACAGCUUUAACAGGAUGCUCUUGAUUUAGGUUGGAAUAAUUGAAAAAUUAUUCACAUCUCCUACAUAUCACCAGAAGAAAGGAGAAAAACCAUUUUGGAAUUUGUAGUUCACUAUAAUCUGAAACAGAAAAGUCCUUGGAGAAAUCCAGUCUAAGGCAAAGCCAAACCUCAGCACAGCAUUAGGAAACAAAUAUCCUUAUACUGCAGACCAGUAGUUAUUCCAGACUUGCUUCCUGGUUGAAGCACAACUCGCUUUGUUACUCCAUGCUCACUUGUGUGUAUACAACAGGUUUAUAUGCAUUUAUCUAUAGCUAAAGAGUUGGAGAUCAUUCUCAGUGCUUUGUCCUUUAUUCUGGUGAGAUGCAUUGUUUCACUAGUGAGAACUCUGAGGCACAUGAAAGUUGUAAGGCCAACCACCUAACCACAGGAAGUAUAGGAUCAAUGACAAAACACAUCGUGUUUCACUUC